ensembl:snRNA U6 U6 spliceosomal RNA
GUGCUCGCUUUGGUGGCACAUAUAGUAAAAUUGGAACGAUACAGAGAAGGUUAGCAUGGCCCCUGGGCAAGGAUGACAUGCAGUUUCAUGAAGUGUUCCAUAUUUUU